GCCGCCGUAGCUCAGCCUGGGAGACGAUCCCAAAAGCACUCGGCUGAAGACCGAGCUGUCGUGAGUUCAAAUCUCACCGGCGGCA
rnacentral:tRNA from 1 species